rnacentral:rRNA from 1 species
UACGUAGGUGGCAAGCGUUAUCCGGAAUUAUUGGGCGUAAAGGGCGCGCAGGUGGUUAAUUAAGUCUGAUGUGAAAGCCCACGGCUUAACCGUGGAGGGUCAUUGGAAACUGGUUGACUUGAGUGCAGAAGAGGGAAGUGGAAUUCCAUGUGUAGCGGUGAAAUGCGUAGAGAUAUGGAGGAACACCAGUGGCGAAGGCGGCUUCCUGGUCUGCAACUGACACUGAGGCGCGAAAGCGUGGGGAGCAGACAGG